rnacentral:rRNA from 1 species
GUGCCAGCAGCCGCGGUAAUACCGGCAGCACGAGUGAUGGCCGAUAUUAUUGGGCCUAAAGCGUCCGUAGCUGGCCGGACAAGUCCGUUGGGAAAUCCACCCGCUUAACGGGUGGGCGUCCAGCGGAAACUGUCCGGCUUGGAGCCGGAAGACCUGAGGGGUACGUCCGGGGUAGGAGUGAAAUCCCGUAAUCCUGGACGGUCCACCGGUGGCGAAAGCGCCUCGAGAAGACGGACCCGACGGUGAGGAACGAAAGCCAGGGUCUCGAACCGGAUUAGAAACCCGAGUAGUCC